rnacentral:rRNA from 1 species
UACAGAGGGUGCGAGCGUUAAUCGGAGUUACUGGGCGUAAAGGGCGCGUAGGCGGUUGAUUAAGUGAGAUGUGAAAUCCCUGGGCUUAACCUAGGAACUGCAUCUCAUACUGGUCAGCUAGAGUAUUGUAGAGGGUAGUGGAAUUUCCGGUGUAGCGGUGAAAUGCGUAGAGAUCGGAAGGAACACCAGUGGCGAAGGCGGCUACCUGGACAAAUACUGACGCUGAGGCGCGAAAGCGUGGGGAGCAAACAGG